UGGGGAAUAUUGGACAAUGGGCGAAAGCCUGAUCCAGCCAUGCCGCGUGUGUGAAGAAGGUCUUCGGAUUGUAAAGCACUUUAAGUUGGGAGGAAGGGCAUUAACCUAAUACGUUAGUGUUUUGACGUUACCGACAGAAUAAGCACCGGCUAACUCUGUGCCAGCAGCCGCGGUAAUACAGAGGGUGCAAGCGUUAUUCGGAAUUACUGGGCGUAAAGCGCGCGUAGGUGGUUUGUUAAGUUGGAUGUGAAAGCCCCGGGCUCAACCUGGGAACUGCAUCCAAAACUGGCAAGCUAGAGUACGGUAGAGGGUGGUGGAAUUUCCUGUGUAGCGGUGAAAUGCGUAGAUAUAGGAAGGAACACCAGUGGCGAAGGCGACCACCUGGACUGAUACUGACACUGAGGUGCGAAAGCGUGGGGAGCAAACA
rnacentral:rRNA from 1 species